rnacentral:misc_RNA from 1 species
CGUGCAAGCAAUGCAGCAUAUCUCGACAACAAAUAUCCCUCCAAAUAUCAAUUAAAAAGUUAUGAAUUUCUUGAUUUUUCUCCAUUCCUUGGCGACACAGCGGUUAUUUUAUUGAGUGUUUCCAAACGCUAUCGAAGCAUGGCAAACACUGCAGUGAAGGAUUGAGAAACAAUAACGUGUUUUAAGACAAGAAAUACAAUACCAUUAGAAUGUCAGAUGAUAGUGAAGAUGAGGUUAACAUUAUGGCUCCCAUCGUGGAUGUGUCAUCUGAGAAAGGGGGCAAGUUAAACACAGCAAGGACAGAUAUAACAGAUUCCACUUACAGAUCUGAUAGCUUUGAUGAUGAUGAUGAUGAUGAUAAUGAAAGUAUAGAACAAGAUGAAGACAUUGCAAGUGAAGAUGAGAAACAUGAAAAAUCUUCCACAUCAAGAAAAACACAUCGCAAGAAAAAGAUUAAGAAAGGAAGGCAUGUUAUUGACAUGACACCUCCUGAUAAACUUCUAAAGAAAUGUCAGAAGAAAGCAAAACAUUAUGCCACAUUGAAAAAGAAUGAUAAAGCACUCAGGGAGCUCAUUAAAUGCACAGCUCUGGCUAGGAUAGUGUAUGGAGAUGGGCAUUGGAAAUAUGCAUCUGCUUAUUAUGCGUUAGCUGAGGGCUAUCUGGAACUUAAAGGUUAUGGCCCCCAGUCCAAAGAGCAUGCAGACACUGCAAAGGCUAUAAUGAUGUCGGGGAUUGCUACGUCUUCAUCUGAGUCAGAGAAGGCCUCCAUUAUGGAACUACUUAUGAACAUUCAUUUUAUCCUAGGGCGUGCACUCACAAUGUUGCAGAAAUACCCUGAGGCUGAAGCUGCCUUGACCAAAGCUGAACAGGUGGCAAAUAAGCGCAGCAAGUUGUCUUGUGUGAAGGACAGUGAGAUAGAUGAUGAUGAUACCAAGAUAUUCAUGGCUGUAGCAAGAUUGUAUGCCAAGCAACAGAAGCAUGCAUCAGCGACAGAGUAUUUUGAAAGAGCAUUGGAGAUUGUUAAACUGAAGGGAGAUGACUGUCCAGAGUUGAUUCCAAUCUACCAAUCUCUAGGCAAAGUGGAACAGAGUAAAGGGAAACAUGCUGACCAUGAACAUGCCAUUGAGAUGUUCUUGCAGGCUCAUUCUAUAUCAUCUGCAAAUAACAAGGCAGACAGCAUUGCCACAGCAGAGACAGCCAGAGCCCUUGCUAGUGCUUACUCUAAAACAGGGGAUGCUGAUGGUGAAACUUCAGCAGAGAGCUAUCUAAAUGAGUGUUUGGUCACAUACCAGCGUGUACAUGGACCGUAUCAUCAAACAACCCUGGACAUACAGGAUGACCUUGCUAGAUUGAUGGUUCGCACUGGCAGACAAGAGGAGGGCAUCUCUCUGUUGAGGUCAACUGUAGAGGCCAAGCAGGAGGUGUUUGGAGAAUACAGUGGGGAGGUUGCCGAUGUGUAUAAACUGAUAGGAUCUGUGUACCUUUCUGAGGGGAACAUGGAGAAGGCCCUCAAAGCCUUUAAAAAGUGUCAUACCAUGCAGAAAACUGUAUACGGAGAAAACCAUAAGAAAACUAAGGAUACUCAAAAAACACUCGAUGUUCUUCUAGCGAACCCUGCAUUAUCAUCAAAGAUGGGCAAGUCAAAGGCAGAUGAGUUAAAAGAUAGACCGAGAUUUAAUGGUAUAGUUAGUAGAACUGGGACAGCUGGACACUAGCAAUGCUGCAAUAUGCCAGACACUUAUCAAUGUAAUAGAGUUAACAAUACCAAGGGAUUGCAAUCAACUUCAUAUGCUCUGAUAAAGUAAAAGUAACGACACCUUUCCGACACUGAAUUCUGCUCCGAAUUUGCAAUUUCGACACCGAAUGUAUUCGACGCUGUUUCGACAAAGUUUCGAUACCGACUUUCGGCGCAGAAUCAGAUUCAAUACGGUAUCUGAAUUAUAGAAAAGAGACAUUCAACCAAUUUUCCCAUUAGAAAUUAACUAUAUUCUGCAAAAAUUCAAACCGACACAGCGCCAAAUUUGUAAUGGGAUCACAACGUUUAUUUCGGCACCGUUCAGGCGUCAAUUUGGUUGACGUUCUGGUGUCAAAAUUCAAAAUAAUUUGUAUUUGUACAUAAACUUUAUAAAAUAUAUAGUAUAUAUUAAGCUAAGUAGAAGGUGUAUUUAUAGUGUUACAUUUAUAGUUAUGUAGUUAUGUCACCACCAGAAAUUGUGACAUACAUUGUAUUGUCAGUAUUGUCUCUAUCUUUUUUUGUGGACGGUCAAUGAAUGUGUUGCAA